AUUCCAGAACCAAAGACCGUCAUGCCGGGUCACCAGCACGAGGGACAUCGAAAGGCGCCAGGGCAACCGCGCAAACACGCGCCAGGAGACAGGGGGAGCCUGGGGUUCGCAGGAGACGGACCAGCAGCUCAGCGCCCGCAGAAUUGCCGCGAGCAGGAGGCCUGGCCCCGACUGGGAAGGUGACAGCCACCAGACAGACGCUCAGAGGUUUCCAAGACAGAGACGUGUAUCUGUCUUGCUCACCGACGUCUCCCCAAUACCAAGAAAGACGGCUGGCAGGCAGUAAGCCAUCAAUAAACAUGCGGUGAAGGAGUGAGUGAGCAGAGACGCCGGCACAGCUUCUCAUUUCCACCCUCCCUCCUUCCCUUCUCAGUGAAAAACCACUCUGUCUUUUA